AUUGAACGCUGGCGGCAUGCUUUACACAUGCAAGUCGAACGGUAACAGGCCGCAAGGUGCUGACGAGUGGCGAACGGGUGAGUAAUGCAUCGGAACGUGCCCAGUCGUGGGGGAUAACGCAGCGAAAGCUGCGCUAAUACCGCAUACGCUCUAUGGAUGAAAGCGGGGGACCGUAAGGCCUCGCGCGAUUGGAGCGGCCGAUGUCAGAUUAGGUAGUUGGUGGGGUAAAGGCUCACCAAGCCGACGAUCUGUAGCUGGUCUGAGAGGACGACCAGCCACACUGGGACUGAGACACGGCCCAGACUCCUACGGGAGGUAGCAGUGGGGAAUUUUGGACAAUGGGCGCAAGCCUGAUCCAGCAAUGCCGCGUGCAGGAAGAAGGCCUUCGGGUUGUAAACUGCUUUUGUACGGAACGAAACGGUCCUGGUUAAUACCUGGGGCUAAUGACGGUACCGUAAGAAUAAGCACCGGCUAACUACGUGCCAGCCGCCGCUGUAAUAC
rnacentral:rRNA from 1 species